GAUGAACGCUGGCGGCGUGCCUAAUACAUGCAAGUCGAGCGAACGGACGAGAAGCUUGCUUCUCUGAUUUUAGCGGCGGACGGGUGAGUAACACGUGGAUAACCUACCUAUAAGACUGGGAUAACUUCCGGAAACCGUAGCUAAUACCGCAUAAUAUUUUGAACCGCAUGGUUCAAAAGUGAAAGACGGUCUUGCUGUCUCUUAUAGAUUGAUCCGCGCUGCAUUAGCUAGUUGGUAAGGUAACGGCUUACCAAGGCAACGAUGCAUAGCCGACCUGAGAGGGUGAUCGGCCACACUGGAACUGAGACACGGUCCAGACUCCUACGGGAGGCAGCAGUAGGGAAUCUUCCGCAAUGGGCGAAAGCCUGACGGAGCAACGCCGCGUGAGUGAUGAAGGUCUUCGGAUCGUAAAACUCUGUUAUUAGGGAAGAACAUAUGUGAAAGUAACUGUGAACAUCUUGACGGUACCUAAUCAGAAAGCCACGGCUAACUACGUG
rnacentral:rRNA from 1 species